UACGAAGGGUGCAAACGUUUGCUCGGAAUUAUUGGGCGUAAAGAGCUCGUAGGCGGUGUGUCACGUCGGCCGUGAAAACCUGCAGCUUAACUGCAGAACUGCCAUUGAUACUGAUGAGCUUGAAUAUACUUGAGGUGGGCGGAAUGUGUCAUGUAGCGGUGAAAUGCUUAGAUAUGACACAGAACACCGAUUGCGAAGGCAGCUCACUAAGCUGUAACUGACACUGAGGCACGAAAGCGUGGGUAGCGAACAGG
rnacentral:rRNA from 1 species